AGAGUUUGAUCAUGGCUCAGAUUGAACGCUGGCGGAAUGCUUUACACAUGCAAGUCGAACGGCAGCACGGGGGCAACCCUGGUGGCGAGUGGCGAACGGGUGAGUAAUACAUCGGAACGUGCCCAGUCGUGGGGGAUAACUACGCGAAAGCGUAGCUAAUACCGCAUACGAUCUACGGAUGAAAGCGGGGGACCGUAAGGCCUCGCGCGAUUGGAGCGGCCGAUGGCAGAUUAGGUAGUUGGUGGGGUAAAGGCUCACCAAGCCGACGAUCUGUAGCUGGUCUGAGAGGACGACCAGCCACACUGGGACUGAGACACGGCCCAGACUCCUACGGGAGGCAGCAGUGGGGAAUUUUGGACAAUGGGCGCAAGCCUGAUCCAGCCAUUCCGCGUGCAGGAUGAAGGCCCUCGGGUUGUAAACUGCUUUUGUACGGAACGAAAAGGCUUCCUCUAAUACAGGGAGCUCAUGACGGUACCGUAAGAAUAAGCACCGGCUAACUACGUGCCAGCCGCCGCGGUAAUAC
rnacentral:rRNA from 1 species